rnacentral:lncRNA from 1 species
UUUUAGCAUAAGGAGUAUCACAUGAGUGAUUACUUGCACAUCAGGAUUAUCACAAUUACAACUAAAGAGGCAUUGUCCUCACUGCUGUCCCUGAGCCCUUCACAAGGAGAGUUCCAAGACUCGCAACCUCUUCCUCCAGCUCUGCCCAUGACCCUCAGUUAUGAACCUCGUCCCUCAGCAAUUAGACUCCGGUAGUUUGCAAACUACCAUUUCCCAUAGCACAUUGAUUUACAUGGCUACUCUCACCAAUGAGAGGACCAAGCGCAGAAAAGAUUCAGAACUUUUGGAAGCAAACAAUUAUAGAGCUAUGGGUCUCUCAGCAUUUACCAUGCCUAAUCGCAUGAAUCCAACAAAUUUGCCAACUCAAAUGCUACAAAGACCAAAUGAUGGUGUGAGGCAGCUCACCAUAUAUCAUCGACUCUUACAAUGAUAGAUCCAUAGAUCAGCGAGGAUAUUCAUAAGUGCUUCACCUAAGAAGUCCAAGAUGCCAUACACACAAUUAGAGCCAAAACAAAACCUGAAGCAGUGGAAAUAGCCAUCUCUAGUAGCUGGAGGAAAUAAAUGAAAUAACAAGCAAGAAGAAGCAAAAUGAUAUUGGAAGUGUAUCAAACAAUCGUACUGAAAUGAUCAAUACACAAAAAGGAAGCGAUCUCUAGUUGUCAACGCACUGAAUUUAGCAUAUAAAUGACAUGGUGACUAAAAUAAUUACCUUAGAUCAUCUUAGGAAAUGUUCCAGCAAAGAAGGUAAUGACUUUUCCAUAUCACCCAUAGCAUGAAUUUUUCAACUUCAAAUCCUAUGAUACCAUGGACUCUGCAUAUGUUGAUAGGACAUAAUAAUUAGCCACAAAGCAGGGGUACGGAUAACACAUCCAAAGGAAAAGCAGAGAGCAAAUUUAAUGCUUACAGCAAAGCAUGGG